UGUGGGAGCGAGCUUGCUCGCGAUAGCUGUUUGUCAGUCGCCAUAUGCUUAGCUGACACUCCGCUAUCGCGAGCAAGCUCGCUCCCACA
rnacentral:misc_RNA from 1 species